UGGGGAAUAUUGGACAAUGGGCGAAAGCCUGAUCCAGCCAUGCCGCGUGUGUGAAGAAGGUCUUCGGAUUGUAAAGCACUUUAAGUUGGGAGGAAGGGCAUUAACCUAAUACGUUAGUGUUUUGACGUUAGCGACAGAAUAAGCACCGGCUAACUCUGUGCCAGCAGCCGCGGUAAUACAGAGGGUGCAAGCGUUAAUCGGAAUUACUGGGCGUAAAGCGCGCGUAGGUGGUUUGUUAAGUUGGAUGUGAAAUCCCCGGGCUCAACCUGGGAACUGCAUUCAAAACUGACUGACUAGAGUAUGGUAGAGGGUGGUGGAAUUUCCUGUGUAGCGGUGAAAUGCGUAGAUAUAGGAAGGAACACCAGUGGCGAAGGCGACCACCUGGACUAAUACUGACACUGAGGUGCGAAAGCGUGGGGAGCAAACA
rnacentral:rRNA from 1 species